ACUCAAAUGAAUUGACGGGGACCCGCACAAGCAGAGGAUGAUGUGGUUUAAUAUGAAGCUACGCGUAGAACCUUACCGAGACUUGACAUCCUAGGAAUCCUGGCGAAAGCCGGGAGUGCCUUUUGGAACCUAGUGACAGAUGCUGCAUGGCCGUCGUCAGCUCGUGUCGUGAGAUGUUGGGUUAAGUCCCGCAACGAGCGCAACCCUUAUGGUAUGUUGGAUUUUUCAUGCCAAACUGCCCGGGCCAACCGGGAGGAAGGUGGGGAUGACGUCAGGUCGGCAUGGCUCUUACGUCUCGGGCCACACACGUCAUACAAUGGCCGGUACAAUGCGUCUUGCCAACCCGCGAGGGGGAGCUAAUCGCAUCAAAACCGGUCCCAGUUCGGAUUGUAGGCUGCAACUCGCCUGCAUGAAGUCGGAUUUGCUAGUAAACGUGGGUCAGCAUACCACGUUGAAUACGUUCCCGGGUCUUGUACACACCGCCCGU
rnacentral:rRNA from 1 species